GUAGUCUGCAACUCGACUACAUGAAGCCGGAAUCGCUAGUAAUCGCGGAUCAGAAUGCCGCGGUGAAUACGUUCCCCGGGUCUUGUACACACCGCCCGUCACACCAUGGGAGCCGGAAAUGCCCGAAGUCAGUGACCCAACCGCGAGGAGGGAGCUGCCGAAGGCAGGUCUGGUAACUGGGGUGAAGUCGUAACAAGGUAUC
rnacentral:rRNA from 1 species